GAGAGCUCCAUGGCCCAUGACCACUGCAGGCAUUUGGGCCAAUCAAGGCAUCUCACCCGUGUGCCCCAACAUUUCUCAUUCCCCAUCAUCCCUGACUGAAGCCAUUGUCAACUCAUGCUCAGAACCACUGCUCAGACAAAUGCAAUUUUUGAUCUUCCUCUCUGUCAGACCUGCAGCACAAGAAGCCCAGAGUCAGAGCAGGGAUAAGCUGAGUUUGGUGGCCACCUGAUGGCGCUCUAGAGCCGCACUGUCUGAUAAAGCAGCCACUAGACACUGUGGUUUUUCAUAUUUAAAGUAUUUAAAUAUAAAUGAAACUUAAAACUCAGUUCCUCAGUCUUACUAUCACAUACUCCAUCGUCACACGUGGCCCGUGGCUGCCAUAUUGGACCGCACCAAAUACCUCCACGCAGGGGAUCACAGAAGAUCUCAGUCGUUGCAGAAAGCCCUCUUGGACAGAACUGCUCUAGAAGGCAUUAUAUGUCCUGCAGGCGAUGAUUUUGGGUGAGGAGUGCUACUAGGUCGAUCUCAGUGGAAGAAAGGCCUGUCUUGUUCUGGCUCUGUCACCAACCUGCUGUGGAUUGGGGAGCUGCCCAUUCUGAGUGGAAAUCAUCCACAAAAGCAAAGAGAAAAUAAAAAGGAACUCAUCUUUCUGCCUGAGUGAAACCUUAUUCAUGCGGUUAGUCGGUGGGUCUGUUGCUCAACACCAGCUGGAGUGAACACUGGACACGAUCAUCUUAAUGAGGGAACUUCUGAUGCAAAUGAAAAGCAUAUGCUUGCGGGAAAAUAGCCUGGAAAAAUAUGGAGCAUCCAGAGCUGUAGAAGGCAUAAACUAUCUAAAAUGGAGAAACGAACACAUAACCAGAAAUGAAACAUAUUCACAGAACCUGUAAACUGGCGAAAUUUCAAAGCCAUUCUUCUUACUGAAAGUAGAAUGCUUUGUCCACCUCAUCAGAGCGAAGGUCACCUGCCUCCAUGAAGGUCAGCAGAAAGGAGGUAAGACCCAAGUAUACCGAC